GGAGAAGUACUCAAGCAGGUUGAAGAGGACGGUUUGCUAAACCGUUAGGCCGGGUUACCGGUGCAUGGGUUCAAAUCCCAUCUUCUCCGCCA
rnacentral:tRNA from 1 species